rnacentral:rRNA from 1 species
GACGAACGCUGGCGGCGUGCUUAACACAUGCAAGUCGAACGGUAAGGCCCUUCGGGGUACACGAGUGGCGAACGGGUGAGCAACACGUGGGUGAUCUGCCCUGCACUUCGGGAUAAGCCUGGGAAACUGGGUCUAAUACCGGAUAGGACCACUGCCUGCAUGGGUGGUGGUGGAAAGCUUUUGCGGUGUGGGAUGGGCCCGCGGCCUAUCAGCUUGUUGGUGGGGUGAUGGCCUACCAAGGCGACGACGGGUAGCCGGCCUGAGAGGGUGACCGGCCACACUGGGACUGAGAUACGGCCCAGACUCCUACGGGAGGCAGCAGUGGGGAAUAUUGCACAAUGGGCGCAAGCCUGAUGCAGCGAGGCCGCGUGAGGGAUGACGGCCUUCGGGUUGUAAACCUCUUUCAGCACCGACGAAGCGUAAGUGACGGUAGGUGCAGAAGAAGGACCGGCCAACUACGUGCCAGCAGCCGCCGUAA